rnacentral:lncRNA from 1 species
CCAUCUUAGCGAAUGCCGCCUUCUUCACCUCCACUUUUCCUUGAACUACAUCGUUCCACCACCAGUCACCCUGGUGCUUGCUUGAAUAGCCUUUGGCUACCCCGAGCACAUCCCGUGCUAACUCCCUAACCAAGUUCGCUUUCCCAGAACUUCUCCAAGCUCCGCCCUCAGCUAACCUACUCUCCACCUCCUGUGCUUUCUCCUUUGUUAAGAUACCCCAUCUAAUCCGCGGUUGUCCCCUAGCACCCCUCAUAUUCCUCUUCACCCAAAGACCAACAUCCAUCACUAGGAGUCUAUGAAGAGUCGAAAGGGACUCUCCCGGAAUAACCUU